AACAAGUGCGUGCUGAAACAUCCUCUCCUCUCCUCUCAUUCCUCUCUCCUCUACAACCACGUACAGCCGCCACGGCUGGUCGAGUUCAAUCCUCCACCAGCCGAGUCGCCCCUCGCCAUCGCCGACCCACCGCUGGAUCCCGGACCUCCCUAACGCCCGCCCGCCCCGGCUAGCUGAUGUCCGCGCACGGCGCACGACGCACCACCUCGCCCAGCCGCGCCGCUGCGGACCAUGGCACGCCUGCUCUCCUGUCGCCCGGCCGCCCUGCUAGCCGAGUAGCCGGAGCCGGCCAGUCGCCGAUGGCACCUAGUCCCCUUCUCCCGCACUCCCUUCCGAGAGAGAGAGAAUUUUCGAAGAAUGAAGAGGGCAGGAAACAUUGCUUCCCUUUUUGCGAGACAUGCUCAGAAGACAAGGAAGAAAGCUAGUAUGCCGGAUGUGCAUGGGACCGCGGAUGUGGCCGAAGAGCAAAUAAGAGAAUUUGUGGUUCAAGAGCAAACUCAAGAAACAGUGGUGUCUAUGUCAAAUGUCACGGUUGAGAAAACUCCAGAACCAAUGGUUCGACUUGAAGAUGUCUUAAACAUGAUCCUGGGGAAAGGCCACCCAUUGCUAGUUAUCCUGUCAAUGAUCAAGACGCAGUUCAGAGAGCAUAUAUCCUUAAGGGUGCAUUCAAACCUUAUGCACAUAACUUUGAAGCAAGAAGAAUUGGGAAUAGAGUUCGGUCAUUCAGUCCUUUUUGGCUUCAUAAACAUAGUUGGCUUCAAUAUAGUAUCAAGGAGAAAGCUGCAUUUUACUUUGUAUGCUUCUUGUUCAAAGAGAAAAAAACUCGUGGCAAGGGAACUAAUGCAUUUACUGAUGGCGGUUGGAGAAAUUGGAAUAGAGAUGAUGCUCUUGAUAAGCACGUUGGUGGUGUAACAAGUGUGCACAAAUGCAGCUAAAGAGAAAUAUGACUUAUUUGUGAAUCCCCGUGCAACAAUUAAUGAUCUUCUUGUGAAGGUGGAUAGUGAGGAUCUACGUCUUUACAGGAUGAGGUUGAAGUAUUCACUUAGAUGCUUGCAGUUUCUUCAUCAUCAAGGAUUGGCAUUUCGUGGGCAUGAUGAAAGUGAACAAUCUAGCAACAGGGGGAACUUCAUUGAGCUAUUGAAAUGGCUUGCAACAAAUAGUGAGAGGUGAAUAAGUAUGUCUUGAAGAAUGCACCAGGUACGCAAACUUGCCGAGUUCUAUCCAGAAGACUUUUCAAGUGCUGACUUGAUACACCUUGAACUACAACUUGAUAACUAUAUUGGUGACAUGAGAAAAGAUGAGAACUUUCAAGGCCUUGGAAAUCUUGUUGAUCUCUCAGUUAAGCUUGUUCAAACAGGGAGGCAUAUAGUUCAUAAUUUUGUGUACUUGCUUCUAAAAUUGGUAUUGAUUCUACCAGUGGCAACAGCAAAUGUUGAGAGAGCAUUUUCUGCCAUGACUUUAGUCAAAAACAAGUUGAGAAAUAAGAUGUGUGAUAGUCUUUUGGAUGAUUGUCUGGUCACAUAGAUUGAGCGGGAUAUUCUCUCUAAGGUGAAUGAAGAUGACAUAAUUGACAUUUUCAUGGCUAUGCAGAAGCGUAGGCCGGAAACAUAGUCUUCUUUGAACUUCUCAAGCUCACAAGUAGCAUCCCCGCAGCCAUCACGACGUCAACGCCCACCCGCGCCACCUCGCGGCCGUGGGCAUUGCCGCCGCCGCGCCAGCAUCACGCCCCUGCCGAGCAGUCGCAUCUCGCGCUACUGCUGUGCACCAAGGAGGGAGGAGGAGCCCUGCCGCCGACUAGGCUUCGCCUGGCGGCGGCAGGGGAAAGGAAGGAAGGGAGAGGCCCGCGGGUGGGGCGGCUAGGGUUCGCCCCGACGCCACUCACGAGAGCCGCGCGGGUGGCAAUUUUUUCUAAGAGAAGAGUGAUGAUGUAAUAUUGUUUCAAUUUUAAUAUAAAGUUAGCCAUGAUGCCUUCCUUGGAAAAAAUGUGUGUUAUAAAAAUCAAAUCAUUAGAAUCUUCUUUCACAUACAAUUUUUUUUUGGAACAAUGGCAGGCUACGAACGGAAGUACGAGCAGGAGGCCGGAACCUACUCCAGUGCAGAAAUGGGUACCUCCAGAGUUGGGCUGGAUCAAAGUAAACGUGGAUGGUGCUACGUCCAAAGUGGGAUCAAAAGGAGGAGCCGGUGUUGUAUUCAGGAAUCAUGAAGGGGCUUUCCUUGGAGGCGCAUGCCAUGUCUUGCCUGGGUGCCCGGAUCCUGCGGCUAGUGAACUGCAUGCUUGUCGACGAGUAGUUCAAUUAGCAGAUGAGUUUAAUGCCAAUCGCCUGCAUAUUGAGACAGAUAGCAAAGAGAUAGCUAGCAAGCUUCGGAACAGGGAGAAGGACUUGUCCGUGCUGGGACCAUUAGUAGAAGAGGUGAAAAUGAUGUUGCAGGCGCGGGAGCAGUGGAAGAUUACCUGGGUUCGCCGCUCGGCGAAUGGUGCAGCACACGCGCUAGCUAGAGAAGGGGUUUCUAAUGACUUAUGUAAGGUCUGAUUACACCAACCGCCUGAUUGUAUCUUGCACAUUCUAUCGGCAGAGAUUCCUGCCUUUUAUGAAUAAAUAGGAACGGUGUGUUCCUCAAAAAAAAA
rnacentral:rRNA from 1 species